CAAAUUACACCCCAAUUUUGAUUGAAAAACCCUUUUACAGAAAGACAAACAGUGCCUGCUGUUUACACUUGUGACCCUGGGGUCUAUAAUUCAGUUUUUCUGAGCCUCAUCUCCCAUCUCAUCUGCCAAAGAGUGAUAAAAUUCUGCUGUGAGCCUCACUGAGGUUCUCAACUUCCAGCUCCCUUCCUGCCCAGCAGAUCACACGUUAACAGCCCCCACCAUGUGCCAUGCAGGACCUGCUCAGCACCUGCACCUUAACAUCCUUCUCUAUGCCCCAUGCAGGUUCCUCUCAGGAGAAUAUUCCUCACUUCCUUGUUGUCACCUAAGCCGCUGUGAUGAAAUCCUGAAUAGCUACUUAAUACCACCAGUUCUCCAGGAAAGGAAACUACCGCAUGGUGAUGGACGUACUGUCUCCCCCUGAUGAGCAGUGUGAAAAUGGACUAACAUACCCACCCACACACAGCACAGGAUAUGGGAAGAAGCACCAGCAAUGCCAGUGCUGCAGAAGAUGUGAGCUGGUGGAGCUGCCAGACACCUGCCGGUAGAGUAAACAGGGGGAACCACUUUGCCCAAUGGUUUGGCAGUUUCUUAAGAGUUAGUGGGCCCCUACCUUACCCCAACAAUUCCCUUUCCUGAAUGUUGACCUAGAAGAAAUGAAGAUACAUUUCUACAAAAAUAGUUGUACAUGAAUAUUCAUUGUAUGUUUGCUCAUAAUAGCCAAAAACUUGAAACAGAUGUAAAUUCUAUCAAGAUAAAAAAUAAGCAAUUUGAGAUGUAUUCAUAUGAUGGAAUAUUACUCACUGAUUAAGGAGAAUAAGCUAUUGGUACCAGAAGCAUCAUGGGUGAAUCUCAUACACAGGUUGAACAAAAGAAGCCAGAUUCAAAAUCACAUUCUAUGUAACACUACUGGCUGGAAGUUCACGAAUGUAAAAACAUAAUCGAAGUUGUUAGAAACCAUAAUAGUGGUUGCUUCUGCAAUAGGGUUGACUGUAAAAAAAAAAAACUCAAGAAAUAUUUUGGAGUGAAGGGAAUUGUUGGGUGUGGGGUCUGUAACUGCUAAGACUCAUUCAACACUGUCCUUAAAAUGUGUACACUUCGUAGGACGUAAUCUAAUGUAGCAGAGAACUUGACUUCCAUUUUGAUAAUCUUCCUGUCAUGCCUUGUGGUAAAGAAAAUGUGCUUCUUUUAA